UACGUAGGGGGCGAGCGUUGUCCGGAUUUAUUGGGCGUAAAGCGCAUGCAGGCGGUCCUGUAAGUUUGGAGUGACAGUUUCCGGCUCAACCGGGAAAGUGCUUUGAAAACUGCGGGACUUGAGGGCUUCAGAGGGACACGGAAUUCCGGGUGGAGUGGUGAAAUGCGUAGAUAUCAGGAGGAACACCGAUGGCGAAGGCAGGUCUCUGGGCCACUACUGACGCUGAGAAGCGAAAGCAUGGGGAGCGAACAGG
rnacentral:rRNA from 1 species